UUCUAGCUCCAUUUUAAGGAAUUUAGAGUGGAGAGGGGAGGUUCAAUAUAACUAAAAUAUCAUUUUAAAAUUGUUCAUCUCCCGUUUUUAACCACACAUUUAUAUUCCUUCAUCUACCCUCUCUUCCCUCAAUUGAACCAAACACACUCUAAUUGAUCAACUUUCUCUAGAAUUCACUUAAUCAUGACACUACAAUUACUUUUAAUCUCCAUCCUCUGAAACAAAGCUCCUUCGCUAACCUAACAACACGCUUAAUCACCUGUGCUUCAACCAAAGUCGCAUCCAGGUUCCAGCCGCUAUUCUUCUUAAAAAAUGGUGGGAGCUUGAAAGUCUAAUAGGUCCCAGAUGAAGUUAAUCUUAUAGGUUCUUAUCUCAUAUCCUCGGAUGAUUGGACUAAGACAAAGGAACAACAAGACUUCACUUCACUCUAUUUUUUCUAAGUCUAGUGAAAGUGCUCUAACACGUGCCUCUAGUGAUGGAAGUGACACUUUAUUUUGGAUUGACUCCAACAAUGUAAGCAAUGCUCUGGUUCUGGUGACUUUAGAAAUAUAUGAUAUCUUCUGCUUAUGUUGCCUCUAUUGAACGCAAUUAUGCUCUAUUUGUUUGCCUCUGAUAAGUUUAACAAACAAGUUAUUGUUUGCCUCUGAUAUUCACAUCAUCACAUCAAGUAUAUGAUUGUUUGACUCUGAUUCAUGAUGUAUGCUUUAGAAGAAGUCAAUGCUCUGAUUAAAUUCAAUAUUCUGAAGAAGACAAAACAUUUGUGCAUCCUCUAAUGAACAUCCUGAAUCUGUUACUUGUUUGAAGGUCUUUAAGACAUGCUCUGAUCAUCGUAUUCUCUACUUCUGGGUCUUCAUACAAAGAUACGUUGAAUCAAUUAAAAUGAUGUGUUUUGGAAAAUUUUCAAUUGCAAAUCAAUCUCAAAAGAUAUGAUACGAAAUUUCAUGACUAAUAUUGAUUUCUUGCAAUUAGAACAAUGUCUAGAAAUCCUAAAAGAUCUCUAUAAAAAGGUGUGCAUUCCUCACUGGAAAAAUAACAAACGUACAAGCUAAAAACACAUACAUCCUCAUCUGCACUCUGGCUCUUAAUCUUUUAUUUUACUCAAAUGUUGAGAUAAGUUUUUGAAAGAACCUUGUUAACACUCUACUGUGAGAACUACUUCAGAAAACUUAAAUCAAUUAUCUUGUAACCUAGUCCAACAGUGGAUGCCUACCUCAAUAUCGUGGCUGUACUAAGCUAGAAGGUUGAUAAGACUUUAACAUAGUUAGUUUUACUAAUAGAUGUUCAGUGAUAGUAUAAUUAUGUGGUGAACUAGUGGAUUAAAUCAUUUAGGUUGAAGGGACUCAUAGCUACCAUGUUGGUGGUGAACCAGGAUAAAUCGUUCGUGUUAUUUUGUUCUUUUCUUGUUCAAAUGUCCCGUUUUUUUACUAUAGCUUAGUCACAUUAAAAAGAUUUUAAAAAAAAACACAAUCCAAACCCCUAUUUAUUGUAUUUCUCGCUCUACGUGCAAUUCCCUUCUCAUGAACUUGAAAUACCUUACAUUGCAUCCUUUGAAGAUUGAAGAAGAUAAGCAAGGAAAACAAGACAAUGUUUUAGAAGAUUGGUUAAAGAUGCGACUGACUCUGUUAAGCGCAUCCUCAACACGCCUCUAAUGAAUAUGUUAAUAAAAACUUGCUCUGAUAAUUAUGUGUUUGAUAAAUCUGGCAAACAGUUGAACGUCUAGUAAAACCAUCAAGUAAACACUUUGACAAAGUCAAAACUCUAAUAUAAAAGACAACUUUUGAGGCCAAAACUUUGAAGAAAUCAACAUUCCAACAUUCUCUAUUCAUCAAAGUUGGAUUUAUCCUCUGACUAAAUAAGUGCAUGACAUCUUCUGAAUAUGCCAUCCUCUGGUCUUCCAGCCACUUCUAUCAAGAUAUGUUGAAUCAUUUACGAAGAUGGAUUUAAACAAGUUUUAAUGCUAAUGCAAGAUCUCUAAAGAUUUGAUACGAGUCAUUAUGUUACAUGUUGAUUUCAUGCAAUCAUAGCAACAGUUAGAAACCCUAAUGACCUUGAAGUUUUUUUAUAGAAGGAGUUGUGAUCUUCACUACAAAACAACACAUAUGAGAAAUCUAUUGAUGUCAUAUACAAUACCCCAUGAAAAACUAUGUAUUAUUUUCGGAGUGUUGAAAAUUUUCAAAUACAUUUUAAGAGCAUAGCAUGUAAACAUUAUCUUGUGAAAGUUACUCAUAAAAUUAUUUAAACAUUAUUUAUAACCUAGCCAAGUAGUGGUUGCAUCCUUCAACAACUUGACUGUACUAAGUUAAAAGGUUGAAAAGACUUGAACACAAUCAAAUUAUCUAGUAGGUGUUUAGUGAACGUGUGAUAUUAUUUGUGAUUAAUGGAUUAAAUCCUUUAGCAUGAAGGAACUAGACGUAACUAUCGUGUUAAUGGAGAACUAGGAGAAAUUGGUUUGUGUUCCUCGCCUUAUCUCUUUAUGUAUUCUUGCUUUUAACAUCACUAGUUUAUUAUUUGUUUUUAUAAUUAAGUUUUUGAGAAAAAAAACACAAUUCAAACCUCCAUUUCUUGUCUUUUUCUCUCUACAAUUGGUAUUGGAGCUCGGUCUCAAGGCUGAGCACUAAUCGUGUUUGGAUAAAUAUGUUAAUUUUUAAUUUUGACUAACUUGUGCGAUGAAGGUUUAGGUGGAAAUGUUAACUUUGCUGACUAACUCUAACAUGAUCCCUAACUUUGGGACAUAGAUGAAGAUGGCUUUGAAGCUCCUAAAGAUGCAAGUACAUGUUGAAAUAUCCAAAAAGGAUCUCAACACUGCUCAAAAGAUACAAUUUAAGAUGCAUCAUAAGGCCAAAAACUUAAUGAUGGAUGUUAUCACUUUCAAAGAGUUCAACAAAUGUAGUAAUGAAGAAACAACAAAAAGCAUCUUCGACGCCACAGUCCUCAACUAUGAAGGAAAUAAACUAGUGUAAGAAGUUAAGGCAAAUCUGCUUGUCAAGAAGUAUAAACUUUUUCAGAUGCAAAAGGAUGGAGAAAUUGAGAAAAUGGUAUGUAGAUUUCAAACUCUAUUAUCUAGAUUAAAGGUUCUGUAAAAGAGUUACACUACAGCUAAACAUGUCAAUAAAAUCCUCAAAAGUCUACCUAAUAAGUGGAGACCAAAAGUCACAACAAUUCAGAAGGCUAAAUACCAUAACAAAUUUCCUCUAGAACAGUUGAUGAGUUCACUCAAAUUCCAUGAGAUUGGACUUGUUGAGGAUGAACCGAAAAUGAAGUCAAAGUCUUUGGCUCUCAAAUCUAAAGGAAACCAAGCAAAUUCCAAGGCUCUAUAAGUUAUGGAGAGUGAAGACUCAAAUGGUGAAGAAUUUUCAUUCAUUUCAAGAAAAUCUAGAACAAGUGUAGAACCAGGAAGAAACCUUUCCCAAAAAGGAUUUUAGAAAAUCCAAAAGUAGUAGAGAAAGAAAAGAAAAAUAUAAAAGGAAGAAAUUCAUCAGCUAUGAAUCCAACGAACCUAGACAUUUCAAAUCAGAAUGUCUUAAGCUCGAGAAGGGAAAAUCUCAAAUAAAAGACUUCAAUGUAAUGAAGAAAAGUCUAAUGGCUACCUGGGAUGACUCGGUGAUAUAUUUUUAUGAAUAUGAAGAGCACUCAAACAUGGCUUUAAUGGCAGAUGUUCGCUUUAACUCUUAUUCUGACAACGAAUGUGUUGAUGAGGAAAUUGAGAUCUCCUUUGCAACAAAGUUGAAACACUAGUCAUGGUAUUUGGACAAUAGAUGCUCAUGACACAUGACGAAAGAAAAGUCAAUGUUCCAAUACAUGACCCUUAAGGAAUUAAGAUUUGGAGGAAAUCAUAAGGGUAAGAUUAUAAGGUGUGUUACAGUAGGUAAUGGUUUUGUUCCAUAUAUUAAAAAUGUUCUAUUUGUAAAAUGAUUAAUGCGUAAUCUAUUGAAUAUAAGUUAAUUAAGUGAUAAUAGUUAUGAUAAUUUCUUCAACUGAAAGUCCAGUAAGGCAAUUAGUCAAAACGAUGAAUCUAUACUAUUUACUUUUCAGAGGAAAAAUAAUAUUUACAAAAUAUAUUUAUCAGAUUAAGAAAAACAAGAUAUAAAAUGUCUCGUGUCAGUGAAUGAAGAACAACUGAAUUGGCACAAAAGGUUGGGACAUGUCAAUUUGAGAUUAAUCUCAAAGUUGAAAAGGCUUAACCUAGUUAGAGGUUUUGCCAAAUUUAAGAUAUGAAUCAGAUGUUCUUUGUGAGACAUGUUAGAAAGGGAAACAGACAUAAUCAUCAUUUUCUUCAAAGAAUGUUGUUUCUACUUCUAAACCACUUUAACGUUUACACCUUGAUUUAUUUGGUCUAGUAAGGAUUUCCUUUGUAAGUGGAAAAAAUAUGGACUCGUUGUUGCAGAUGACUAUUUCAGAUGGACUCCGGCAAAGUUCCUUAAACCCAAUGACGAGUCACAUAAAUGUUUCACUACUUUCUACAAACAAGUGCAAAAUGAAAAAUGUUUUUGUAUCACAACAAUUGGUAGUGAUCAUGGUGAGGAAUUUGAAAAUAAAUCUUUUGAAAAUUAAGGUGAAGAGAAUGGAAAUAAUUUUUCUUUUGUUAGAACACCCUAGAAAAAUCGGGUAUUAGAAAGGAAAAAUAGAUCUCUUUAGGAAUUGGAAUGCACCAUGAUACAUUAAAUGAAUGUUGUCAAGCCCUUUUGUUCAAAGGCAAUAAAAGCUAUAUGUUAUAUUAUAAUAAAAUCUAUAUAAGACAUAUUCUCCAUUGUUGGAACCAAGUUGAUUUUACAUUUAGAGUUUUGAUGUUAACAAAAGUAUUUUAU